rnacentral:rRNA from 1 species
UUCGGGGUGAGCGGCGGACGGGUUAGUAACGCGUGGGAACGUACCCAGAUCUAAGGAAUAGCCACUGGAAACGGUGAGUAAUACCUUAUACGCCCUUCGGGGGAAAGAUUUAUCGGAUUUGGAUCGGCCCGCGUUAGAUUAGAUAGUUGGUGGGGUAACGGCCUACCAAGUCUACGAUCUAUAGCUGGUUUUAGAGGAUGAUCAGCAACACUGGGACUGAGACACGGCCCAGACUCCUACGGGAGGCAGCAGUGGGGAAUCUUAGACAAUGGGCGCAAGCCUGAUCUAGCCAUGCCGCGUGAGUGACGAAGGCCCUAGGGUCGUAAAGCUCUUUCGCCAGGGAUGAUAAUGACAGUACCUGGUAAAGAAACCCCGGCUAACUCCGUGCCAGCAGCCGCGGUAAUACGGAGGGGGUUAGCGUUGUUCGGAAUUACUGGGCGUAAAGCGCGCGUAGGCGGAUUGGAAAGUUGAGGGUGAAAUCCCGGGGCUCAACCCCGGAACUGCCUCCAAAACUAUCAGUCUAGAGUUCGAGAGAGGUGAGUGGAACUCCGAGUGUAGAGGUGAAAUUCGUAGAUAUUCGGAAGAACACCAGUGGCGAAGGCGGCUCACUGGCUCGAUACUGACGCUGAGGUGCGAAAGUGUGGGGAGCAAACAGGAUUAGAUACCCUGGUAGUCCACACCGUAAACGAUGAAUGCCAGUCGUCGGGUAGCAUGCUAUUCGGUGACACACCUAACGGAUUAAGCAUUCCGCCUGGGGAGUACGGUCGCAAGAUUAAAACUCAAAGAAAUUGACGGGGGCCCGCACAAGCGGUGGAGCAUGUGGUUUAAUU